CUUUGGUAACCAUUUCAUUUUUUAAUUUCAUUUCAUUUUUAAUUUUGGUGUGUAAGCUGUAACAUUUCAUCAUUUUAAACUGUAGCGUUCUUUGACCUCCCCAGAUGUCUUUUUUCUUUUCUAUGAGGAUGCGCAAUGUUGGUUUUUCUUGAAUAAACAUUAUUUCACUUGUUAAUAAAAUAUGUAAUUUUCGUUGUUUUUUGCUUCUUUCAAGUUUAACUGUGCGUAUGUUGCCUGUAUAAUACUUUACUUUUUUUGAUCUGUGUUCUCCCACUUAAUCUAUUUUGAUAUUUAUGUACAUCUUUGCUUUUAAUUUACAUUUUCUCUUUUGUUAGUAAAACCCAUGCUCGUGGCCUGUCCGGGGCCCAUCUGUGUCCCCUUCUAGUCAACUUUCAUAGUUUAAAGUAACCUUGGGAGCAUUUCCGAUACACUUAAGAGUAAGAACUAUUCUGUGCUGUUAAAAUUUUCUUCCCUGUCCUGAAGUUAACUUUUCCUAACCAUCAGCUCCAAACUGAUAGCUGUUUUAAUAAAAGAUUAGGCUUUAGACCAAAAUGAAAAUCUCACUUGAAACUCAAUUUGCAUUUAUUUUUCUGUUAUCAUUGGAGCCCAAAGGGAAGUUAUCAAUGCUUGGAGCUGUGCUUUAGGCACGGCUGUGCUUAGGGAAGCAGCGUUCUGUGUACGUGGGAUGGCAAAGCCCCCAAAGCUUAGUUGCUUCUUUCCAUUUUCCUGUUGAAAGGGAAGCAGUGGAUAAGACAGAUUUUGGCCAGAUUCUAUUUUUAUCUGGUAAAUGAUCAUACGAAAUCCACUGAGCACAGCCCACUGAAGUACAGAUUACUUUUUAAGUGUCUCAUUAUUUUAUUCUCUAACAUUUAAUGCUGAAGUUUUAAUUGCACACAGAUGAAGCUGCUAAAUGAGCACUGAAAUGGAUUUAGGUCUUCUCAGAGCCUUGUUGAUGCUUAUAAAACUUUAUAUCGUUCUUAGGACUACAGAUUAAAAUUGUAGCAAGCUCUUCACAUAGUGCCACUGGGCUCUGCCCGUGCCUGGCCUCUGGAGGAGCCUGAAGCUCACCCGAACACCCUCCUGCUGACCCUUUCCCCAGGGAAACUGGGCGGCAUCAGGCUCUGCUCCCCUAUCUGGGGGUCCUGUUGACCUCCAGGGCUGAGCCUGAGUUGUCUCCUUCCCCUGAGUCCUCUGUGAGUUCUGAGGGAUUCAGCCCUAGCAGGUCCUACCUGAGCAGUGGGGAUGCACCGUCAACAUCAGAACCUGGUUCAGGAAACAGCUGGUUUGAAUUGGCAUCCCUGCUUGAGAAAGGUAUUUCACUGAUCUCUGUGCUUAACCACAAGAUCCCUGUUUUUAAACUGCCCUUGUGUGGCAGAAUUGCCUGUUAAAGUAGUGGCAGAUGCAGUAUUCACAGAACUCCGUGCCCAGCACCUCUGUGUUACUGUGUGAGUUUCUCUGACUUUGUGGCUAUGAGCUGUGCUGGACUGUCACAGCCUCCAUAAAUGCUUGAAGCAUUCAGGUGGAUUUUCCUUUCCCCUCCUGUUCCAAAUUUUAGCUGUAAUAGUUUUUGUAGACCUGGAGUUGUCAGUUCAGGUACACAGACUGCUGCUCCUCACUGAGCCUGUUUGGGAUAGCUGGGAUUUGGCUUUGGCUUGGGUUUAAUGCUACCUGUCAGCCUGAGAAGAGGAAUCCUCCAGAAACCAUCUUACGCCAUUUCUCCAGUCUCCAGAACAGGGUUUUUAAAACUCAGCGGGGAAAAAUACUUAUUUUGCCUAAGAAAACUCCUCAAAGACUUUUUCUCCUUGUAACACAUAUUUUAUGUUGGCAGCAGUUACAUGUGAAUGCCUUGACUUUCCAGGGCAGCAAGUCUUAAAAACAUUUAUUUAAAUGUCUGGAAACUGAAGGAAUCUCCCUCCCUGUGCAGAGGGCUGGCUGUUGGCUGCCUCCUGCUAGAACAAAUAGCAGGGAAAAAGAAGAAAUGGAAUAAAAAUGUCUGAUGUUGGGAAUUGGAGUCAAUAAUAUAAAAUCAGAGCUUAAAAGACGGUUAGAAUGUCUUGUUUCUUUUUUUUUUUUGUCUCAUUUCAUGUUUUGUCAUGUCCAUCCUGCCGUCUUUCAUAAGGUUUGGCUUGUCUGCUUUUCAGCUCUUCUAGACAUUGGAAAUUCCAGUUUGUGUUUAUUUUCUCUGGAUUCCUUCCCACAAGACAGAAGUGAAUUCAGCAUGGAUUGUUGGGGAAAGCCUUGGCUGGGAAUAAGGAUAAUUGCAGCCUCUGGCUGUGCCACAGUUUCACUGAUUAUUUCUUUUAAGUUACUCACCUGCACUGUAUCUGUUUCCUCAGCUGUAAAAUGUGGGUAAUUACCUCCAUUGUAAAAUGUUACAGGGUCUGCUGGUAAUUAUAUGAACGAAGUGCUAAUUACAGUGAUUAUCCCUUGGACCUAGUCUAGAUAUGGAUGAUGUUCCUGUUGUGAUGAACGUAUGAAACAAAUACUGCAA